AGUCGAGCGGGGAAGGUAGCUUGCUACCUAACCUAGCGGCGGACGGGUGAGUAAUGCUUAGGAAUCUGCCUAUUAGUGGGGGACAACGUUUCGAAAGGAACGCUAAUACCGCAUACGCCCUACGGGGGAAAGCAGGGGCUCUUCGGACCUUGCGCUAAUGGAUGAGCCUAGGUCGGAUUAGCUAGUUGGUGGGGUAAAGGCCUACCAAGGCGACGAUCUGUAGCGGGUCUGAGAGGAUGAUCCGCCACACUGGAACUGAGACACGGUCCAGACUCCUACGGGAGGCAGCAGUGGGGAAUAUUGGACAAUGGGGGCAACCCUGAUCCAGCCAUGCCGCGUGUGUGAAGAAGGCCUUUUGGUUGUAAAGCACUUUAAGCGAGGAGGAGGCUACCUGUAUUAAUACUAUAGGCUAGUGGACGUUACUCGCAGAAUAAGCACCGGCUAACUCUGUGCCAGCAGCCGCGGUAAUGCAGAGGGUGCGAGCGUUAAUCGGAAUUACUGGGCGUAAAGCGCGCGUAGGCGGUUUGUUAAGUCGGAUGUGAAAUCCCCGGGCUCAACCUGGGAAUUGCAUUCGAUACUGGCAAGCUAGAGUAUGGGAGAGGAAGGUAGAAUUCCAGGUGUAGCGGUGAAAUGCGUAGAGAUCUGGAGGAAUACCGAUGGCGAAGGCAGCCUUCUGGCCUAAUACUGACGCUGAGGUGCGAAAGCAUGGGGAGCAAACAGGAUUAGAUACCCUGGUAGUCCAUGCCGUAAACGAUGUCAACUAGCCGUUGGGGGAUUUGAUCCUUUAGUGGCGCAGCUAACGCGAUAAGUUGACCGCCUGGGGAGUACGGUCGCAAGACUAAAACUCAAAGGAAUUGACGGGGGCCCGCACAAGCGGUGGAGCAUGUGGUUUAAUUCGAUGCAACGCGAAGAACNUUACCUGGGCUUGACAUCUGGGGAAUCCUCUGGAAACAGA
rnacentral:rRNA from 1 species